rnacentral:tRNA from 1 species
GGGCCUGUAGCUCAGCCAGGGAGAGCACCUGGCUUUUAACCAGGUGGCCUGGGGUUCGAAUCCCCACAGGCCCG